rnacentral:tRNA from 1 species
AAAAUUUUAGCUUAAUUAAAGCGCCUGGGUUGCAUUCAGGACAUGUGGGAUAAAGCCCCAUAGAUUUUA